rnacentral:misc_RNA from 1 species
AAAAAAUGUAGAGAUAAUUAUUCGAUUUACAGUAAAACACUUUGUCAAUCUUUUUUAUAACGUAUUCUUAGGUUAAGUUUUUUAUAGUUAUUUUUGACAUAGUGUGUAGCACGAAAAGGAUCUACAGAAGAUUAAACCCUUGUAGAUAAACAAGAUUUAAUUAAUCCAAAAUUUUAAAAAAUACAAAAUUCAAUCCAAAAUUUAAGAAUAAAAUAAUGCAAAUAUAGCUUUAUAAAGAAGAAAACUUCAUUAA